GACGAACGCUGGCGGCGUGCUUAACACAUGCAAGUCGAACGGAAAGGCCCUGCUUUUGUGGGGUGCUCGAGUGGCGAACGGGUGAGUAACACGUGAGUAACCUGCCCUUGACUUUGGGAUAACUUCAGGAAACUGGGGCUAAUACCGGAUAGGAGCUCCUGCUGCAUGGUGGGGGUUGGAAAGUUUCGGCGGUUGGGGAUGGACUCGCGGCUUAUCAGCUUGUUGGUGGGGUAGUGGCUUACCAAGGCUUUGACGGGUAGCCGGCCUGAGAGGGUGACCGGCCACAUGGGGAAGGAGAUCCGCCCAAGCCCCCGGGGGGAGGAAGCGGUGGGAAAUAUGGAACAGGGGGCGGAACCCUGAUGCAGCAACGCCGGGUGGGGGAUGGCGGCCUUGGGUUUUAAACCCGCUUGCGCCUGGGACGAAGGGGGAGGGAGGGUAAGGGGUAAAAAGCCACGGGCAAAGUAGGGC
rnacentral:rRNA from 1 species